GCUGGAUUAGCUCAGCGGCAGAGCAACGGUUUUGUAAACCGCGGGUCGAGGUCUCGGAAUCCUCAUCCAGCUCCA
rnacentral:tRNA from 1 species